GACGAACGCUGGCGGCGUGCUUAACACAUGCAAGUCGAACGGAAAGGCCCUGCUUUUGUGGGGUGCUCGAGUGGCGAACGGGUGAGUAACACGUGAGUAACCUGCCCUUGACUUUGGGAUAACUUCAGGAAACUGGGGCUAAUACCGGAUAGGAGCUCCUGCUGCAUGGUGGGGGUUGGAAAGUUUCGGCGGUUGGGGAUGGACUCGCGGCUUAUCAGCUUGUCGGUGGGGUAGUGGCUUACCAAGGCUUUGACGGGUAGCCGGCCUGAGAGGGUGACCGGCCACAUUGGGACUGAGAUACGGCCCAGACUCCUACGGGAGGCAGCAGUGGGGAAUAUUGCACAAUGGGCGGAAGCCUGAUGCAGCAACGCCGCGUGCGGGAUGACGGCCUUCGGGUUGUAGACCGCUUUCGCCUGUGACGAAGCGUGAGUGACGGUAAUGGGUAAAGAAGCACCGGCUAACUACGUG
rnacentral:rRNA from 1 species